AGGUGUGAAGCACAGCAUCACAGAUAAAAGGUACAUACAGUAUUCCUCACUGUGCAGACGAUGUGGCCAGUGUGUCCUCACAAGACGCUUUCAAGGACUCGUGCCAAACUUUCGUGUCUGCAAACAGCCUCUAGGAGCCACUCAACUAUGAUUCCAACCUGCUCACUCUACUCCCAAAAUCUGUUAUUCAGUUGAAUGUGAUAGGCUCCUAGGUGAUUUCCCACCCUGCCUUGCAUCAGUUAUGUGGAUUGAAACAAAACCUCUCCCAUUUCAGCAUUGCCCAUUGCAAUAGUACCAUCUUUUUAGCUUCUGUACAGUCGGAGGGAUUGGAGUAGUGUGCAGUUCUACAUUGCUUCACCAUGGCUGUGAUCCACAACUAGUUUGCAAAAUCCCCGCAAAGUCAACAACUGAUUCUGACAGCUGGUGGGAGCUGGCUGCAGCACAUACUAGGCUGCUACACCACUCUGCAUCCUGGAAGUGCCAUCACUCAGGAGUGGAGAGGACUUGUCCUGCACAGGUGCUCAGCCCUUCACAGCCAAGUUCCAGGGCGGUGGAUGGAAUGUGAGGCCAUGGUUCUCAUUUAACCCCUUCAGUGAGAAACAGAGGAGGAAAGAGCCAGAGAAGUGAAAUGAGACACCAAGAGCCACAUGACUCUGCAGGCCGAUGGGAAUCCGAGCCAGCAUCUCCUUGUCCCAUAGCCUGACUUCUGAGCCGUUACUCAGAAGGUCUUCAUUAUCCACUUACAGUGAAUAUUCCUAAAGUGAGUACCAAACUUCAAAAUAGUGAUAGUUUGAUUUGGGACAUUGUCUUGAAAAAUUAAAGCAGAAGGUACACAAAUAAAUUUACUUUCUCACAUAUA